AUGAUAAAAAUUCAAAUAAACCGACCUGCAUUCAUGCAUAAAAUUAAGUCAGUUUCAGUACAAAAAAUAGGAAGAUACCUCAGAGGAGUACAACUUCCAUAUCUGUUGUUGAUCAAAUCUGCUAUGCUCACUUGGUUUCCACUCAAAUUGGACAGUUCAUUAAGUUUAACGGCAGAUCUGAAACAGCAUCAGUUACCGGUGGAAUAA